rnacentral:lncRNA from 1 species
GAGAGCUCACAGCCAAUUUCAUGAGACGGUGCUACAUUAUCGUGCCUUCUUGCAUGAGGAAUUCAAGGCCACAUGCGGUUUCGUCACUUGUCAAAGAUCUUAAAACCAUUCAUCGGGAGAACUAGGAAAGGACACCUCUGGGCCUGCCUGUGAGCUGCUGCUAGAGAAGAUUAGCCGAGAACUGAGUGAAUGAGAGCCACCUUGAGAGGAGUGCCAUCUAACAGGCUGGAGGUCCGGGUGACGUGAGAAAGUAGAAAGGGGAAGCAAGCCCUGGAUUAUGAGUUUCUUCCCCAGUGGGUGUGGUUUGAUGCUGCCGAUUCAGAUGAACAUCACACUCCAGCAUCACACUCCAGCUUCUUCAGCCUUUGACAGACCUGCAGCAGUGAGAUGCAAGGACCUUGGAGGCCCUCACCCUCAGACCCAGGACAACCGUUGGCUUCUCAGUCUCUGUUCUCACAAGCAUCUUGUUCUGCGUUCCCUAGCUGACACCCAGCUCUCCAAUCUACAGAGGACUGCUGUGGCCCCACAGAGUACUCCAGACUAUUAGCUUCCUCUUGUUAUUGUAUAUAUUCCUUACCCUUAAUGGUCCCAAUACAAGGGUGAAUUAUCACUCUUCUCAGAUCUGUCACCAUCAAUCCAAUAAUGAAGAGAACCAUUUUCAUCUGAAUAAGCAAUUAACCUCCAAGUGGCAGCGUGGAACCAAGGUCUACAGUGGCUGCUGAGGUCAGACUUGAAGAAAUGACUCACAUGCAAGGCUGAUCUACAUAAGUAGCCUGUGCUAAGACUGCCAUCUGGUAGAACAAUCUACAUCACACGACUCCACGUUUCCUGUUACCCAAGAUUUUUUUAGUGAAAGAGUAACAGAACAGAGCCUCAGUAACAGCAGAGGAGGAAGGAGAAGAAAAUUCUACUUGCUCAUGAAGACUCAAGAUCUGCUCAGGGCAACUAGAAAAUUUAGCCCUGGUGAAGCCAAGAUAAUCUAUGGGCCACAUUCCCCUAAUCUUGUUAUUGAAAUCCUUCUAUUGCAUCAGAAAAAAAGUUAUUUAUCAGUUGACUGUAAGAGGAAUUAUUGCAUAGUCUUUUGUAUAUGAGACCAGAGAGAACGUGCAGAGAUUGUAUUUUACAUUGUAUCUGAAACACAGAUGCUCUGCUCAUAAACAUUCCUCAUGCCUUCUUCAAGCUGUCCAAGCAAAAUAUGAUUUGCUUUUAAAUUUGAAUAUCUUUAAAAAUUAACAAAUUUAAGACUGUCCUAUCUCAAUCUCCCACAUACUAGGAUGGUGGAUGUGUGCCACCUUUUCCGGCCAUGACGUAACAUGUUUAACUGAUUCCUUCUUCUUCAGCAUCUCCAUGCUCUGCAGGUGCAGCUUCGAUGGACCAUGGCCAUAUUGCCCCACUACUAUCAAUCACACUGAGAUGUAGUCCACAGCAUUCAACAAGCCACCACUCAUGGGAUAGAGGAUAGGCAAAAGGAACAACUAAGACAGUAGAGGAGCCCAGCACUCCGAACCCCUAAUCAUGCCUUCGGUGGAUUCCUUUGGUAAAGUUUUCCUUUGUGGGUUUCUUUCAGCACUUGACCCAUAGCCCAUGGAAUGUGUCAGCUCUAAUUGCCUGUGUGGAUUGGCACAAGUCGUGCCUCAAAAUUGGAAUGUUGUCACAUAUAACAUAGCCUUUCAGAGGGAUAAAUGUGGAAAAUGUUUUACCCAUGAAUUCCUUAGAAGCAAUUGUGCUCUAUCACGUGAAAGGCUGAAGACCUGGACAGAACCUAAUGACUAUAUCCCCAAGAUCCCCAAGGUUCAGUGGCUUUCAGGAUGUUGCUCUCCCUGACUCCAUGGACAUCACAGAAUGACAGUUGUCCACUGGAGUAUUCUUCACCCAGGCAGCUUUCUAAAAAAAGGAAAUUUGAGAGUUGCAAGGACAGAUGAAGGGGCUGAGGGCCUGGGAUCCCUUUAUGUGAGACUCAUUAUUGAAGAACAACUUAUACAAUUAUUAUCUGAGGACCAGGUGACAGCUGUCAAGAAGGCCUCCUUGUAAGAGGGUGCAGAAUAUAUGAAAUUUGUCUUUAGGUGAUGAUCUACUACUAAGAGUGAUGCUAUGAGGUUGGCAUCUAAGGAAAAGAAAAGAGGCUGGCAUAUGGUGAGCACCUAGUCUGUGCCAUGAAUUGUGAACUUAACCUUGAAUUCUCGUAUGUUCAUCUAAGGUCUGUUUUCUUUAAGGAGAGAUUGUGACCCUCUUGGUCUGGUAUGCAAGCUGUGAUGAAUACAGAGCUCUUCAGAUGGAUCAACCCUUUCCUUACUCACUCUACAGCUAUCCUCACCAGACAGACACACAGACAGAUAGAUAGACAGACAGACACAGGUAGAAGGACAUGCAUUUGGACCAAACACUACAGCAAAAUAGCUCAAAGAUCAUUUCAUACAUCAUAAAUUCAGAUAACUUUCUUCUUUUUCCAUAAAUAGUUCUAAUUUAAAAUACACAGUCAAACACCAACAUGUUGUUACCAAAAACAAAACAAAGCAAAGCAAAACAAAACAAACACUAUAAUAUUAUUUGGGGACCCUAAGCUUGUCAAUGAAUCUGUUUAAUUUUGGAGGUAAAAUUAGCCAGGUUUUGAGAUUGAGCUGACUAUCACAAAACCAGAACUUUCCAUCAGCUGGAGAGGGGCAGUUAAUAACUGCCUCCGGG